rnacentral:hammerhead_ribozyme from 1 species
AUCCAGCUGAUGAAUCCCAAAUGGGAUGAAACGCGCUUCCUGGAU